UUAGUUGCUUCUAGGGCUUUGCCAUGUCUUAUGGCAGGGAAAUGGGAAAAAGUUACGGGGGAGCAGCAGGCAUCACCCCAUAAGGAGUCUCUAAGUCCCCAUGCCUUACCCUUUGCACACUCCUAUUGCCCCCAUUGUUGCUGCUCUACCACAUUUAAUGGUCCAGAUCUUGGCAGCCCUUCCCCUGGCUGCCUCCACCCCAUUUCCCUGCCUUCCUGAAAUACUUUUUGUUUUUUUCAUAACACUGCAGCUUAAGGACUGGGCUAACUUCAGCCAGCCAGGUGUACCCAAAGUCCCAGGCAAGGAACUGCACCAAAAGGUCUCAUAUUUGGAAACAUUGGCACCGGGACUGACCUGAAGUGGUGUGUAAAACUAAAGCCUGGACAACCCAAGAGGGUUUCCUGAGGAGGAGCUCUAUGUGCCCUGAGCCCAGCACAGGGCUGGUGCAUUUCUCCUGGCUUGCUUGGCACAGAACUCUGAAGCUUUUUGGGCAGGGCAAACUCUCAGUGCUGCUGUCACCACCACGUGCUUGAAGCAAAGCAAAUGGGCAGUGGCAAACACCCCUGGCUGGCAAGCAGAAGCACAGCCUCCCCCUGUGAGGAAGAGCCACAUCCACCUGGAAUGGGCACAUUUUGGAGGGUGCUGGAGUGGGUGGUGGGCAGCCAAAACCUUUCCAUGGUUUCCCCACUUUCCCAGCCUGUGGCUCUGGAGAUAUGAGUGCAACUGGCCACCACCAGCCUGCAGGAGUCCUGCUGGCAUUGCUCUGAAAGAACUACUGACCUGUGUUUCUUUGAGGAAAAACCUCCCUCAGGUUAUUUUCCUCAACUCUGUACUCACCAAAGCAUCUACUGGGUUACUCAUGAGGCAGAACUGGCCAUGGCAUAUGAUUGAACACAGGGGCUCAGUGUCCAGCAGGACGAGAAAUCUCACUCCUGGCAGCCACCAAGAAGAACACAAAUCUUGGGUAGACAUGUCUUUUGUGGAACAUCUGCCACCUCUUGGGAUUGGAGUUUACCAGCUUCUGGAGGAUGAGAGUUCAGAAGCAGUUUUAGCUGACUAUAACAUAUAUGUAAGGAAUAGCAGACAGGAGAAGUCAGAGUUUUCAAGAUAAAAGAGAUGCAGCAUUCUGUGGAUAAUAUAAUCUUAGAAAAUGCAUACAUGAAACUAUGGUUUUCUGGAAUGUCUGGACUACUGGAGUAAAAUAAACAGCAAGGAAGAGGGUAAAAGAAAAAACCCACCAUGGAGGCAUUAACAAGUCAGUGCACAACAAAUUUAGUAGCCUUGCAUACCAAAUUUCUGAUGCAUCUUAAGUCCCUUCACUCUCCACUCAAAUAGCCUACUUCUAAAAUUUGUUAUUAUCUGUAAAAAUGCUAUGAAGUAAAUUGUCACCACAGUGUACAGCAAAGGUACGUGACCUGCUCUCUAUUUUACAGUCAGUCCAGAACUAACCUUUAAAAAAAAAAACUAUUUUCCCCUCCCCUCCUUAAAACACCCUCUCAAGUCUCUAACCAAAUGUCAUACAAAUAUAGCUAUGUUAUUGUGUUAAAAACUCCCAGAAACUCAAAGUAAAAAUUAGUUAGGAAUAAAUACAUGUAACAAAACCACAGAAUUUCUGUGCAUUUUACCAAGCAUGGCACUGCCAAGUCCACAUCUCCAUCUCAUUAAAGCCCUUGCCCUCCUAUGGGUUUUUGAGCAUGCCUGCAAUUUUACCACUCCAAUUUACCUUUUAGAAUCUGUAUGUGGCUUGGCAAAAUUUUAGCCUGGAAUAUAAUACCAUUUUCUACAGUUCCUUCUAUAAGUCCCUGACUAGAGUGCAGAAAAUCUCCCUGAAUGGUAUAAACUUAUCCCAGCAAUAUAUUGUACAAAUUUUAACACUGACUUUCUGUUACAACUCCCUCUCUCUGGUUCAGCAGUUAAGUAACAAUUUCAGUCUGGACGUCAACAUUUAUGAAAUGUAUCUGUGCUGUUUAACACACUUAAAACAGCUGGAUAACAAUGUCUUUUCUCUGAGUUUCAGCUCUAAAUCCAGCUGUAUCAAGUUAUAAAAUUUUAUUUGGGUGACUUGUUAUAGUAUACAAUCAGCACUACAUACUGUACACUUCUGUCCAGAUAGUUCCAGAUAUCAGUAACAUCACAGCUGGUGUGCUCAAACAUUUUAUCACCUCACAGCAUUUUAACAUGUAUGCAUAUUCAAUUAUCACAGCUGACUGAUGUGAAAAUGUGUGAAGAAUACUUUUGAAUUAGUUUGUUUUUAAAGAAAUCAACGACAAAAAAUGCAGUGUGCACAUUCACAUCAAGCUGUAAAUAUGCACAUUUUAAACGACAAUAUCAUACCUCUAAACAAAAACAUCUUAGGUAGUGAUACAACACUAACUAAUUUUUUAAUGACUUAAAGAAAGAUGCUCACAAGAUCCUAAGCAGCAGGUACAAACUGCUCUCUUAUCAAAGGAACAAAUGUAUUAUACAGACAGAUGAAAAGAGUUUAUGAGAGCCUCCCCACUAUCUUAUAUAUACAUGGAAAUAGGACUGGUGUGGUUUGAAACACAGUGACCACAAUAUCUACUUCUAUUAGCAUGUUGUAGAACAAAAUAAAGAAUCACCUAGGCUUCUAGUGUUACAGCAAGUUUUGUUCUUAGCCUGGGGACUCAACACUUUUGUCUAGGUUUUCUCUGAUGUAACAUUUGUUUUCUCUCUCUCUGUUACAGAAAACAGAACUUAUUACCCCAGGCUCUAAAUCAAAAGUGACACCAUUUCCACAGCUGGUAUGAAAAAAGAGAGUCAUAGAAUAGUUUGGGUUGUAAAGGAUCUCAAAGCUCAUCUAGUUCCGACCCCACGGGCAGGGACAACUCCACACAGGUUGCUCAGGGCCCCAUCCAACCUGGCCACAUUGUUAUGACUUAAAGAAAUCCACACAAGAAACAAACAACUGCUUUAGAAGUCAA